rnacentral:rRNA from 1 species
GACGUAGGGCGCAAGCGUUGUCCGGAAUUAUUGGGCGUAAAGAGCUCGUAGGCGGCUUGUUGCGUCGACUGUGAAAACCCGUGGCUCAACCAUGUGGUCUGCAGUCGAUACGGGCAGGCUAGAAUUCGGUAGGGGAGACUGGAAUUCCUGGUGUAGCGGUGAAAUGCGCAGAUAUCAGGAGGAACACCGAUGGCGAAGGCAGGUCUCUGGGCCGAUACUGACGCUGAGGAGCGAAAGCGUGGGGAGCGAACAGG